rnacentral:misc_RNA from 1 species
AGCAGCCGCGGUAAUUCCAGCUCCAAUAGCGUAUAUUAAAGUUGUUGCAGUUAAAAAGCUCGUAGUUGAAUUUCGGGAUCAAUAUAUCGGUCGUGCCUCGGUACGUACUGGUAUCAUUGGUUUCUCCUUUCUGACGAACCAUGAUGUCAUUAAUUUGGUGUUAUGGGAAGUUAGGACUGUUACUUUGAAAAAAUUAGAGUGUUUAAAGCAGGCUUUGGCUUGAAUACAUUAGCAUGGAAUAAUGAAAUAGGACGUUCGAACCUAUUUUGUUGGUUUCUAGGAUCAACGUAAUGAUUAAUAGGGAUAGUUGGGGGCAUUAGUAUUCAAUUGUCAGAGGUGAAAUUCUUGGAUUUAUUGAAGACUAACUACUGCGAAAGCAUUUGCCAAGGAUGUUUUCAUUAAUCAAGAACGAAAGUUAGGGGAUCGAAGACGAUCAGAUACCGUCGUAGUCUUAACCAUAAACUAUGCCGACUAGGGAUCGGAUGAUGUUAAUUUUUUAAUGACUCAUUCGGCGCCUUAC